rnacentral:rRNA from 1 species
GACGAACGCUGGCGGCGUGCUUAACACAUGCAAGUCGAACGCUGAAGCCCUUUCGGGGGUGGAUGAGUGGCGAACGGGUGAGUAACACGUGGGUAAUCUGCCCUGCACUCUGGGAUAAGCCUUGGAAACGGGGUCUAAUACCGGAUAGGACACAUCGCCGCAUGGUGUGUGUGUGGAAAGUUCCGGCGGUGCAGGUUGGGCCCGCGGGCUAUCAGCUUGGUGGUGGGGGUGUGGCCUACCAAGGGGACGACGGGGAGCCGGCCUGAGAGGGGGACCGGGCACACUGGGAAUGAGACACCGCCCAGACUCCUACGGGAGGCAGCAGUGGGGAAUCUUGCGCAAUGGGCGAAAGCCUGACGCAGCAACGCCGCGUGGGGGAUGACGGCCUUCGGGUUGUAAACCUCUUUCGACCGGGACGAAGGGUGACUGACGGUACCGGUAGAAGAAGCACCGGCUAACUACGUGCCAGCCGCCGCGGUAA